GCUCAGAAACUCAAAUGAAUUGACGGGGGCCCGCACAAGCGGUGGAGCAUGUGGUUUAAUUCGAUGAUACGCGAGGAACCUUACCUGGGCUCAAAUGUAUGUUGACGUAUUCUGAAAGGGAUACUUCUUCGGACAAUAUACAAGGUGCUGCAUGGUUGUCGUCAGCUCGUGCCGUGAGGUGUCGGGUUAAGUCCCAUAACGAGCGCAACCCUUGCCUUUAGUUGCCAGCAGUUCGGCUGGGCACUCUAAAGGGACUGCCGGUGUUAAACCGGAGGAAGGUGGGGAUGACGUCAAGUCCUCAUGGCCUUUAUGACCAGGGCUACACACGUACUACAAUGGCCGAUACAAAGGGCAGCGACACUGCGAGGUGAAGCCAAUCCCGUAAAAUCGGUCUCAGUCCGGAUUGGAGUCUGCAACUCGACUCCAUGAAGUUGGAAUCGCUAGUAAUCGUGGAUCAGCAUGCCACGGUGAAUACGUUCCCGGGCCUU
rnacentral:rRNA from 1 species